rnacentral:lncRNA from 1 species
GAGGAUGUAAAUAAUAAAAAAAAAACGCAAAAUACAAAGACUUUGGUUGCAGGUGCAGCGGCUGACUUCCAGCUAAACUUGGAGAGAUGCAGCAUCACCCUUUUAUUUCCUUCUGGCUUAGAGAUCUGAAGGUUGGGAGGAGAAGUGACGCCGGGGAAGUAGGAGAGUGGCCUCUGCAGCGAAGACGUGGUGCAACGGUGUGGCUACCGGAUCUGGUCAGGCUCGCGCGAGGAGAUGAAAAGGUUGAAGGAGUAUGAUGCAGGUUCACGGUAACCGGCGACGAAGGGUUGGAGAUGAAAGAGGUGAAGGUGGAGGUAACGAUGGAGUGCAGGAGGAUAAAAAAAGAAAAAAAUAAUAAUGUGGCAGAGAGUGAAGACGUGGCAUAAGACGUGGUCUUGCCGUUUAACAAAAGUUAACGCCGUCCAUUUAUAAGGAUUAAUAGUAAGAGUUUCAAAACUAUGAGGAUAAAAAACUAUCAAAGUUUCAAGUAGGGACUAAAACCAAAAUCGUGUGAUACUUAAGGAACAAAAAUCAUAUUUAACCCUUAAUAAUAACAAGUUCACACUAAAAUAAAAAAUUAAAAUGUAAUA